UGGAUAGCUCAGUUGCAAGAGCAGGAGACUCUUAAUUUAGGGUCGUGAGUUCGAGCCCCACAUUGGGCAAAA